CCUACGGGUGGCAGCAGUGAGGGAUAUUGGUCAAUGGGGGAAACCCUGAACCAGCAACGCCGCGUGAGGGAAGACGGUUUUCGGAUUGUAAACCUCUGUUCUCUGUGAAGAUGAUGACGGUAUCAGAGGAGUAAGCUCCGGCUAACUACGUGCCAGCAGCCGCGGUAAUACGUAGGGAGCAAGCGUUGACCGGAUUUACUGGGGGUAAAGGGUGCGUAGGCGGCUUUGCAAGUCAGAUGUGAAAUCCAUUGGCUUAACCCAUGAACUGCUUUUGAAACUGUAGAUCUUGAGUGGAGGAGAGGUAGGCGGAAUUCCCGGUGUAGCGGUGAAAUGCGUAGAGAUCGGGAGGAACACUAGUGGCGAAGGCGGCCUGCUAGGCUCUAACUGACGCUGAGGCACGAAAGCGUGGGUAGCAAACAGGAUUAGAUACCCGUGUAGUC
rnacentral:rRNA from 1 species